AUCUAGAAUCUUUGACACCUGCUCACAUCUGUUUGAUGGCUUAUCCUCUAGAGCAAGUGAGGCUAACUUAGUCUUCUUUGGGGACUUUGAAGAAAAGAACAGAAUUUUAGCAGGGUAGAGGGAACCCAAUCAUAUUAGCUACCAUUUGACUGGAUCCAGUGGAUUACUAUUUGAUAGAGCGCGCAUGAAUUCCUCUGCUG